GAUGAACGCUGGCGGCGUGCCUAAUACAUGCAAGUCGAGCGAACAGACGAGGAGCUUGCUCCUCUGACGUUAGCGGCGGACGGGUGAGUAACACGUGGAUAACCUACCUAUAAGACUGGGAUAACUUCGGGAAACCGGAGCUAAUACCGGAUAAUAUAUUGAACCGCAUGGUUCAAUAGUGAAAGACGGUUUUGCUGUCACUUAUAGAUGGAUCCGCGCCGCAUUAGCUAGUUGGUAAGGUAACGGCUUACCAAGGCAACGAUGCGUAGCCGACCUGAGAGGGUGAUCGGCCACACUGGAACUGAGACACGGUCCAGACUCCUACGGGAGGCAGCAGUAGGGAAUCUUCCGCAAAGGGCGAAAGCUUGACGGAGCAACGCCGCGUGAGUGAUGAAGGUCUUCGGAUCGUAAAACUCUGUUAUUAGGGAAGAACAAAUGUGUAAGUAACUAUGCACGUCUUGACGGUACCUAAUCAGAAAGCCACGACUAACUACGUG
rnacentral:rRNA from 1 species